rnacentral:pre_miRNA from 1 species
CUGGUUUUCAUAGUGGUUUCCCAGAUGUCUGUUAGAUCUGAGAUCACUGUGAAAGCUGAUU